GACGAACCCUAGCGGCGUGCUUAACACAUGCAAGUCGAACGGAAAGGCCCUGCUUUUGUGGGGUGCUCGAAUGGCGAACGGGUGCGUAACACGUGAGUAACCUGCCCUUGACUUUGGUAUAACUUCAGGAAACUGGGGCUAAUACCGUAUAGGAGCUCCUGCUGCCUGGUGGGGGUUGGAAAGUUUCGGCGGUUGGGGAUGGACUCGCGGCUUAUCAGCUUGUUGGUGGGGUAGUGGCUUACCAAGGCUUUGACGGGUAGCCGGCCUGAGAGGGUGACCGGCCACGUUGGGACUGAGAUACGGCCCAGACUCCUACGAGAGGCAGCAGUGGGGAAUAGUGCACAAUGGGCGGAAGCCUGAUGCAGCAACGCCGCGUGCGGGAUGACGGCCUUCGGGUUGUAAACCGCUUUCGCCUGUGACGAAGCGUGAGUGACGGUAAUGGGUAAAGAGGCACCGGCUAACUACGUG
rnacentral:rRNA from 1 species